rnacentral:lncRNA from 1 species
UUUGUAUUUUAGCGUAUUGUAAUUGAACAAAAAAAUAAAAAAAAAGAAGAGGAAAUUCAAAAAAAAAUCAAAAAAAAAUUGAUUGAAAAAAAAUUCAAAAAAAAAAUUCGAAGUAUAUAAAAAAAAGUGAAAAGUCUUGUGAGUUUUAUUUGUUAUUAUUUCUUGUUGCUUCCGAGCAUCCAUUCAUUCUACCAUUUCUUCUACCCCUCCCAAAACGCCACACAUAGUUUGAUUUUUAUUUUCCUUGUUUAGCCUACCCUACACCCUAGGUUAUUUCC